rnacentral:rRNA from 1 species
GUGGACGCAUCACUGGUGUUCGGGUUGUCAUGCCAAUGGCACUGCCCGGUAGCUAAAUGCGGAAGAGAUAAGUGCUGAAAGCAUCUAAGCACGAAACUUGCCCCGAGAUGAGUUCUCCCUGACUCCUUGAGAGUCCUGAAGGAACGUUGAAGACGACGACGUUGAUAGGCCGGGUGUGUAAGCGCAGCGAUGCGUUGAGCUAACCGGUACUAAUGAACCGUGAGGCUUAACCUUACAACGCCGAAGMUGUU